rnacentral:rRNA from 1 species
CACGAGUUUGAUCAUGGCUCAGAACGAACGCUGGCGGCAGGCUUAACACAUGCAAGUCGAGCGCCCGCAAGGGGAGCGGCAGACGGGUGAGUAACGCGUGGGAACAUACCCUUUGGUUCGGAAUAACUCAGGGAAACUUGAGCUAAUACCGGAUACGUCCGUAAGGAGAAAGAUUUAUCGCCAAAGGAUUGGCCCGCGUCCGAUUAGCUAGUUGGUGAGGUAACGGCUCACCAAGGCUACGAUCGGUAGCUGGUCUGAGAGGAUGAUCAGCCACAUUGGGACUGAGACACGGCCCAAACUCCUACGGGAGGCAGCAGUGGGGAAUAUUGGACAAUGGGCGCAAGCCUGAUCCAGCCAUGCCGCGUGAGUGAUGAAGGCCUUAGGGUUGUAAAGCUCUUUUGUCCGGGAAGAUAAUGACUGUACCGGAAGAAUAAGCCCCGGCUAACUUCGUG